GCUGGGUGCGGUGGUGCCUGCCUGCAAUCCCAGCUACUCAGGAGGCUGAGGUAGGAGGAUCUCAAGUUGGAGGCCAACCUGGGCUACUGAGUGAGAACCUGUCUCAA
rnacentral:sRNA from 1 species